rnacentral:rRNA from 1 species
UCCGUAGGCGGACUAAUAAGUCAGGGGUGAAAUCCCACAGCUCAACUGUGGAACUGCCUUUGAUACUGUUAGUCUUGAGUUAUAUGGAAGUAGAUAGAAUGUGUAGUGUAGCGGCGAAAUGCUUAGAGAUUACACAGAAUACCGAUUGCGAAGGCAGUCUACUACGUAUAUACUGACGCUAAUGGACGAAAGCGUGGGGAGCAAACAGGAUUAGAUACCCUGGUAGUCC